rnacentral:rRNA from 1 species
AUGGGGAAACCCAGUGUGUUUCGACACACUAUCAUUAACUGAAUCCAUAGGUUAAUGAGGCGAACCGGGGGAACUGAAACAUCUAAGUACCCCGAGGAAAAGAAAUCAACCGAGAUUCCCCCAGUAGCGGCGAGCGAACGGGGAGGAGCCCAGAGCCUGAAUCAGUGUGUGUGUUAGUGGAAGCGUCUGGAAAGGCGCGCGAUACAGGGUGACAGCCCCGUACACAAAAAUGCACAUAUUGUGAGCUCGAUGAGUAGGGCGGGACACGUGGUAUCCUGUCUGAAUAUGGGGGGACCAUCCUCCAAGGCUAAAUACUCCUGACUGACCGAUAGUGAACCAGUACCGUGAGGGAAAGGCGAAAAGAACCCCGGCGAGGGGAGUGAAAAAGAACCUGAAACCGUGUAC